rnacentral:rRNA from 1 species
GACGAACGCUGGCGGCGUGACUAAUACAUGCAAGUAGUACGCAGUUGCGAACGGGUGAGUAACGCGUAGGUAAAUGCCUCAUAGCGGGGGAUAACUAUUGUAAACGAUAGCUAAUACCGAAUACUGUGAGAUAGACCUGCGUUGUAUUAGCUAGUUGGUGAGGUAAAGGCUCACCAAGACGACGCUACAUAGACGACCUGAGAGGGUGACCUGUCACACUGGGACGGAGACAUGGCCCAGUCCCCUACGGGAUGCAGCAGUGGGAAAUCUUCGGCAAUGGACGGAAGUCUGACCGAGCAACGCGGCGUGAGUGAAGAGGUUUUUCGGAUCGUAAAUCGCUGUUGUUAGAGAAGCGGUAACUAACCAGAAAGGGAAGGAUAACUACGUGCCAGCAGCCGCGGUAAUAC